GACGAACGCUGGCGGCGUGCUUAACACAUGCAAGUCGAGCGGAGCGGCGAACGGGUGAGUAACGCGUGAGUAACUGCCCCCCUCUCUGGGAUAACAGUUGGAAACGGCUGCUAAUACCGGAUAGUGUGGGAUGACUCGCGUCCUAUCAGCUUGUUGGUGGGGUAGUGGCCUACCAAGGCGACGACGGGUAGCCGGCCUGAGAGGGCGACCGGCCACAGGGGGCGGAGGUAGGGAGCAAACGGGAACGGGAGGCAGCAGGGGGGAAGAUUGCGCAAUGGGGGAAAGUGUGAGGAAGAAACGACGCGGGGGGGAAGACGGUCUACGGGGUGUAAACGGCAUACAGCAAAGACGCGGUAGGGGAAGAAGAAGCACCGGCUAACUACGUGCCAGCAGCCGCGGUAAUAC
rnacentral:rRNA from 1 species